AUGAAGGAGUACCACUCUAUGAACUUUUUGUGUUUGUGGUUUUUUAUACUUGAAAUGCUUCGGUGGUUGUAUAUAGAUAUACCCGGCAGCUUGCUGCAGGGGUGCGGCAAGCCGCAUUUCCUAUCUAGUGUGUUCUACUACACCCUUGCACACGACGAAGUCCGGAAGACACAAAACAGUGCCAUCAUGAGCACGGAUAAGUACGACGAAGAGACAACUGAAAUGUAUGCUAACAUAACAGACAUUGUUCAAUUGCAGUAUAUCUCCAGUUUUGAGGUUCAUCGGUGUGUGGUUCUUUUGUGGUGUCGUUGGUAUAACCUAUUUUCCUGGAUCACAAAAUCCAGAGCUGGUGAUUAUUUCAAAUCCAUCAGUGUCAAGGUGGCGUACAGACCUACGAGCCUUUUAUUUUGGCAAAUCAAGCAACACAAAUAUUUUUCUUGGAAGACACAUUUGCGCGUAGUGAUGACUUGA
rnacentral:rRNA from 1 species